rnacentral:rRNA from 1 species
AUUGAACGCUGGCGGCAGGCCUAACACAUGCAAGUCGAGCGGAUGAAGGGAGCUUGCUCCUGGAUUCAGCGGCGGACGGGUGAGUAAUGCCUAGGAAUCUGCCUGGUAGUGGGGGAUAACGUCCGGAAACGGGCGCUAAUACCGCAUACGUCCUGAGGGAGAAAGUGGGGGAUCUUCGGACCUCUCGCUAUCAGAUGAGCCUAGGUCGGAUUAGCUAGUUGGUGGGGUAAAGGCCUACCAAGGCGACGAUCCGUAACUGGUCUGAGAGGAUGAUCAGUCACACUAGAACUGAGACACGGUCCAGACUCCUACGGGAGGCAGCAGUGGGGAAUAUUGGACAAUGGGCGAAAGCCUGAUCCAGCCAUGCCGCGUGUGUGAAGAAGGUCUUCGGAUUGUAAAGCACUUUAAGUUGGGAGGAAGGGCAGUAAGUUAAUACCUUGCUGUUUUGACGUUACCAACAGAAUAAGCACCGGCUAACUUCGUG